rnacentral:rRNA from 1 species
CAGUGGCGAACGGGUGAGUAACACGUGGGCAAUCUGCCCUGCACUCUGGGACAAGCCCUGGAAACGGGGUCUAAUACCGGAUAUUACCUUCCUCUGCAUGGGGGUUGGUGGAAAGCUCCGGCGGUGCAGGAUGAGCCCGCGGCCUAUCAGCUUGUUGGUGGGGUAAUGGCCUACCAAGGCGACGACGGGUAGCCGGCCUGAGAGGGCGACCGGCCACACUGGGACUGAGACACGGCCCAGACUCCUACGGGAGGCAGCAGUGGGGAAUAUUGCACAAUGGGCGAAAGCCUGAUGCAGCGACGCCGCGUGAGGGAUGACGGCCUUCGGGUUGUAAACCUCUUUCAGCAGGGAAGAAGCGAAAGUGACGGUACCUGCAGAAGAAGCACCGGCUAACUACGUGCCAGCAGCCGCGGUAAUACGUAGGGUGCNGAGCGUUGUCCGGAAUUAUUGGGCGUAAAGAGCUCGUAGGCGGCUUGUCACGUCGGUUGUGAAAGCCCGGGGCUUAACCCCGGGUCUGCAGUCGAUACGGGCAGGCUAGAGUUCGGUAGGGGAGAUCGGAAUUCCU